UUCAGAUGGGAGCCUACGAUGAGGAGGAUUAUUUCAAAAAGGAAGCAAAACGAAACGUUUACCUUGUAAAAUUGGCCAGUGUUCCAGCUUCAAAAGUCCAUAACAACGUGCAAACCUGAAUUUAUAAACAUACAGUAGAGGUGAAAUUUACAGACCUUGGAAACAGUGACAGUUUUCUUUAUUCAACUUCUUACUAAAGUAGUCUACAGUAGUUACUGUGUCAGGAUCUCCUGGUUUCCAACGAAACAGUCAACCAGCCAAGGGCCAGAGCAAGGGAUCACUUCAGAGUGUGGCAAAGAAAGAUGCACCCCUUAGUAACAGUAACAGUUCUCUUCAAGCUACCUUGUAGUUCUAUCUGAACAGUCGAAGAGUUAUCCAGCCAAGGACAGAGCGAGAGAUUACUUUAGAGGUCUGUGAAACAAUCGUCACUGCUAUCUGCCAUGGAACCACCACCAUCUUAUGGUUCUGAGAAGUUCUACUCACUGUGACUACUAUCCAGGAUACCUCAUCCCCUGUGUACAGAGGCCUCUUUGUUAUUGUUGCACCAUAGAAUUAAUUAUUGUAAUUGUAUUUAUUAUAAUGUAUGUUCAUUUUUGA